GAGCCGGGGGCUGGUGCUGGAGCUGGGCCGCGCAGGCGGUGGAAGGCAGGCCCGGCUGGCUCCUGGCAUGUCACGAGCGGUGGAAUCUCUCCCUGGGGACUCUGAUCUGUAGGCAGCUGGGAUACCUCCAACUCGCCCGCCACAAAGGAGUGAACCUGACAGAUGUCAAGGUGAACGAUACGCAAGAGUUGGUUCAGAUUGUGCCCAACCAGAAGAGCAGCAUUGAAGACGUGUGGCAGGUCAGAGUGCGGCCUGCGCUCCAGGGCAGCCCGGAUCGUGGGGGGAAGCGACGCCCCGUUGGGACGCUGGCUGUGGCAGGUCAGCCUGUACCUCAACUCCAGACACGUGUGCGGAGGCUCCGUGGUGGCGCACGAUUGGAUCGUCACGGCCGCUCACUGUGUGCACAAUUACAGGCGUCCAUAGGUCUCCAGCUGGCUGGUCUUUGCCGGGAUUAUCGCCCACGUGUCAGUCCCACAGCAGGCCCGUGCGGUGGUGGAGAAAAUCAUCUACCACCCCCACUAUGACGACAGGAGUCACGACUAUGACAUCGCACUGAUGAAACUCACAGCGCCCUUGAACUUUUCCGGUGAGACAGAAACCCAGAGAGAGCAGCGUUUUGCGGUGAGAAAUUGACAGGAAAGUUUGUCUAGAAGGUCACACAGUAACUCAGAUGCAUUUCCCAGCAAGAUCCCCCAGAGAUCUCAUCUCCUCCAGGCAAGACGAAAGGAAGCAAACAUUCAGGUCACUGCCCCUUCCUGCAAAGACAACAGUGAGAAAUGGACAGGAAAGUACAGUUGGUCUGGAAGGUCACACAGCAAGUCAGAUCCAUUUCCCAACCAGCUCCCCCAGGAGAGCCAAUACCCCCAGGGGAGAGGAAAGGAAGCGAACAUCCAGGUCACUGCAAAGAGCACAGGGGAGUGUGGGUGUCCCGGAUGCAAAGCAGGAGCAGACCUGGCUGGGCCCGGCCUCUGGAGCAGAUCUCCUGGAAGAAUUAAUGUCCUCCAGGCCAGAGGAAAGGCAGCGAACAUCCAGGUCACUGCAAAGAGCACAGGGGAGUGUGGGUGUCCCGGAUGCAAAGCAGGAGCAGACCUGGCUGGGCCCGGCCUCUGGAGCAGGGCAAAGUCUGCAACAUGAUUAACAAGAAGUAUAACGAAUUCCUCCCAAGCAUGCAGAGCGCUGAGGACUUGGUGUCACAAGUGGACAGUCUGUCCGGCAACUUCGGCCUACUGAAAUCCAGGAUCGAAAAUGAGGUGACACGGCAGCGGUUUCACUUUAUCUGUAUCUAGCAGCUUUCAUCCUGCAUCAUCCCAAAGCAGUACAACCCCACUGACGUGCAGCCAUGAGCAUGCUGCACAGGAAGGCAGGGGAGGAGGAUCUUGGCUAAGGAUUCCAGGAUGAAUAGCCGCCUCUUAUAAAGAGUGCCCUUGACUGAAAUAUACCAAUGUAUGAUGUAGCAGACCUGGGAUAUAAAUAAAGGGCGGGCUGUAGCUGAAUGGUUUUCUGUGUUGCUCAUCACAGUAGUUUCAGAGCCUCUCGUGUAUAUUAAUGCAUUUAUCUUCUAAGCCUCUCUGCAUUCAGAUAGGGAGGAAUCAUUUUUAUUUUGCUGAUGAGGAAACUGAGGCACAAAGCAGUGGAAUGACCUUGGCCAAGGUCACACGGAGAUUCUGUGCAGAGCUGGGAACCGAGCCCAGAUUUUCUGUAUAUUGAUUGGAAGACUGUCCUUCCUGUGGCCCGCUUAUAUUUUUUGUGCCCAUCGUCCUUUCUAUACCCCUGGACUAAUUCUUUUAGCUGUUCUCUGCCUUGCCACUCUGGCUUUGAAAUGUAAGUUAGAAAGGCUCUAAUGCAGGUGAGAUAUUACAUCUGGAUUUUUUCUUCGCAGAGGAGAAUGAUCAACUCAAAAAUCGUACACUGUGAAAAUAACUUUUACAUCUGAUACCAGUUAUGCUAUGUUAAAAGUGAAAGAAUCUUAAAUAUCCAUUUUACUUGUCUCUGUUUAUUUGUUGCUGUGUAUUCAUGUUUCUCGGUGUAUACAAUAACAAUCGGUGACAUCAGUUCCACUUGUCUGUAGUCAAUUUCAGCUUUGGGUUCCUAGUGCUGCAGUAUUUAAGGGACAAACAAUGUAGGAGAUUGUUCGUUUGUUUAUUUAACAGUUUGGGGAUUUUUUUUAAAAAAAGGAGAAACAUCUCUUGAUCUUGCAUGCCAAUGGAAGCUUUUAAAAUGUAUAGUUAAACUGUACUUUUCAAAUUGACAUUUAUCUAAUUUAAAAUUAGAAAACUGUUAAAGGGACUCUGGAAUUUUUUUACUGGAAUCAUUUUUUUUUUAAAGAUCUGCAAUUUAAUAUCGCCCUGUUCUACUUUUUUUCAAAAAUUACCGUACAAUAAUGCUUUUUUUUUUAACGAGUUUUUCUUCUCCUCUGCUGUUUAACAGGGUCUUUCUAGUGAGGUUAAAAAGUCUGACCAUACAGAGAAAGUGAAUAUAUAUAAAUUUCUGUCUACUGCAUUGGAUAAAUACACUGGGGAAAUAGAACCUCUUUUCCUUCUAAUUUCUUUCAGUUAUAAUAACUGUAGGUGUUGUUUGUAACUUUGGGAGGUACGAACGUUUCAGGCAGCACGCUGGUGUUGUCAUGUCGGUGUUACUUUUGAAAUAGAAAUGGCUCUCAUAGCCUUUUGUUACUGGAAAUGAACUGCUGUAGCCUUGCUGUCUGUGCUGCUGUUCUAGGUCUAGCAAGAUCUGAAUGUGGCUACUGCUGAAUUUACUGAAUUGAAGCAGCAGCUGGAGCGAGACUCGUUAGUUCUGAGUGUGCCGAAACAGCUGCAAGAGGUGAGGAAGGAGGCUGGGAAAAUGACUUAAGAUCACUAAGUGUUUCUGUAUUUUUUUUCCCACUGACUUCUUCCUGGGUCUCCAUCGUGAAUAAAUGAUCAUGACUCUUCUA